AGAAAUGUGUUAUUUAUUUUGGAACAGACUAAAAAGUAAAGUACCUCAUUUAAUAUGAAAUGGAGGGAGUAUAUUAGUGGCUUGAAGCCUGAACGAAAGCCAUUAGUGAAGUUGGCAAAUCCUGUGAUUGAUAUGGAUGCGUAUGAAAUUGCGAAGCUGUAUGAAGAGUCAUUCUCAACCCUUACUGCCCUCUUACUAAUCAGAAACAACCCAAAUCUCACUUAUCCUAGACCUUUAGCCAUCACUUAUCCAAAAGCACAACAAAACCCAAAGCAACCAGCACAACCUCCAACACCAAACCAACCUCUGAGAAUCACAUAACCCAAUCAGAGGCUUGCCAAUAGAGCUCCUCUCAAACCAAACAGUUUUGAGGCACUUAGGAAAUAGGGACUUUGCUAUAAGUGUCGUGAGAAGUAUGAGCCCGGGCAUCAAUGUAAGGCUAAAACUCUUCACGUUAUGGAAGGAGUAGCAGCUGAAGUGGAACCUGAGAUGGAGGAAUUUUUGGAUGUACCUAAAACCUUAAAAGAACUUGUCGAGGAACAAGCUGAAGUUUCUCUGAAUGUGGUAAUGGGACUAAGUUCCGUUGGAGGGACUACCUCUAUUAUCAAAUUACUGGGACAUACCAAGAAGAUUCCAAUGACUAUAUUAAUUGACAGUGGAUAUACAUACUCUUUCAUUGAUCCUCAUGUAGUUAAAAAUGUUGAAGUUGCUUGUCCAUUCUAUGACAAUCCCAUAAAGGAUUGUUGUGGCCAAUGGACAUAUUACGAGAUGUGACAAGGAGAGCCCUAUGUUUAAUUGGCAGAUGCAGGAUGAGCUCUUUACUUUCAAAAUCAUGCGGCUUAAAGUGGGAGGAUGUGAUAUGGUCCUAGGAAUGGACUGGAUUGAUAUAGUAGCCCAAUAAUACUGCAUACUAGACCUAACAGUCUAAGUUUUAUAAAAGAUGGAUGAAUGAUGACUCUGUUGGGAGCAAAUGAGAAACCUAAGAUCACACCAGUAGACAAUGAUGCCUUGAGUAGAAUACUGCACUGCGGAACUGGUACAAUGCUAGCUGAAUUGUCUGUAGUAAAUGAAUUGUCCUACAGGAAAGAAGAAGGAAAUUAUGAAGCCUGAUGUGGAAAGACUAUUGUUAGCCUACAGUGAUGUGUUUCAAGAACCAACUGAAUUUUCCCCUGAAAGAAGUUGUGAUCAUGUUAUUAAUUUGAUUCCUGGUGCUCAGCCAUUUAACUUGAGACCUUACAGGUAUUCUCAUGAUCAGAAAAAUGCAAUAGAGUCCAUUAUUAAUGACUUGAUUAAAGCUGAAACUGUGGUUCCUAGUCAAUUUUCAUUUGUCUCUCCUACUUUAAUGGUUAAAAAGAAAGAUUCUACUUGAAGAUUAUGUGUGGAUAAUAGGAGAUUGAAUAGCUUGACUGUUAAAAAUAAGUAUCCAGUCCCUAUGAUAGAUGAUCUGUUAGAUGAACUAUGUGGAGCUAAUGUAUUUUCUAAAGUGGAUCUUAGAGUUAGUUAUCAUCAUGCGAGAAUAAGAGCUGGAGAAGAACACAAAAUUGCAUUUAGAACUCACCAUGGACUAUGGCAUUUCAGAGUCAUGCCGUUUGGGCUGACUAAUGAUCCCACCACAUUCCAGUCCUUGAUGAACACUGUGUUCACUGAACAAAUGAGAAAAUUUAUACUGGUAUUUUUUGAUGAUAUACUAGUUUACAGUAAAAACAUGGAGGAACAUUUGAAACAUCUUAAGGUUGUGCUGCAGCUACUGAGGAAGAACCAAUUAUUUGCCAAAAGAAUCAAGUGUUAGCUUGGGCAAUCACAGGUAGAAUAUUUGGGACACAUCAUCUCAGGCAAUGAGGAUAUUACAUAAAAUUUUAUCAAAACUAUGCACAAUCGAGCAAGCCCUUGACCAAUUUGUUAAAGAAAGGAGGAUUAAACCGGGAUGGGGCAGCUACCACAACCUUUUAUAACCUUAAGCAGGCUGUGACAAUUGCUCCAGUUCUGGCUUUACAUGACUUCAACAAGGCAUUCAUGUUAGAAGUUGAUGCAUUUAAUACUGGAGCGGGAGCAAUGGUGAUGCAGAACAGAUGACCAUUAGCAUUUAUGAGCCAAUCCUUCAGCAAAAGGCACCAAGGACUAUCCAUUAUGAGAAAAAGUUGAUUGCUCUACUCCUUGCAGUGGAUAGAUGGAAGCAGUACUUGCAUCCGCGACACGUUGUCAUCAAAACUGACCAUUUUAACUUGAAGUUUUUGCAGGAACAGAAAAUUACAAUCUUUCUUCAGCAUAAAGUCUUAACCAAAUUAAUGGGUUUAAGUUAUGAGAUCCAAUACAAGAAAAGGAGUAGAAAAUAUCAUUGCAGAUGCACGGUUGAGAAAGUAUGAACAACAACCUACUGGAGAUCAACCACAAUGUUUGAUGUUAACACAGCUGCAACCUAAGUGGUUUGAAGAAGUGUUGGCAAGCUAUGAAGGAGACCAGGAGGUGGUACAGAUAGUAACCACCUUGAGUAUUAAUCCUUCUGCGUUGAUGGAUAAUACUUUGCAACAAGGGUUAAUAAGGCAUAAGGAAGAGUAUGGGUUGGCAAUCAUGGUACUCUCAGACAAUAACUAAUUUCUACUAUUCACAACUCUGGCUUGGGAGGACAUUCAGGAGUGAUAAGAACAUAUCAGAGGGUGAAGGCAAUUUUCUAUUGACCUUUCAUAAUUGAAAAUGUGAAAAAGGUUGUCCAAGAAUGUGAAACAUGCCAAAGAUGAACAAGUGGCUUAUCCAGGGUUGCUACAGCCAUUACCUGUACCAGAAAAAUCCUGGGAACAUAUCUUUAGAUUUCAUUGAAGGUUUGCCAAAAUCAGAAGGGCAAGAUACUAUUAUGAUAUGGUAGAUAGUUACAACAAAUAUACUCACUUUAUUGCCUUGUCUCAUCCCUUCACAGCCUUUCAGGUAGUUAGAGUGUUUAUGGACACUAUGUACAAGCUACAUGGAUUACCUAAGAGCAUAGUGUCUGAUAUAGAUAAGAUUUUCCUCAAUAAUUUCUGGAAGGAGCUUUUCAAAAACCUGUAGGUACAAUUACUUUAAAAAUUUUCUUAUCAUCCACAAACUGACGGGCAAACUAAAAGGUUAAAUAGGUGCCUUGAGAAUUAUCUGAGAUGCAUGACUGAACACAAACAUAAAGAGUGGAGUAAAUGGUUUUCAUUGUCUGAAUUUUGGUACAACAGCAACUACCACUUAGCCCUGAAGAUUACUUCAUUCAGAGUAAUGUAUGGGUAUGAACCACCACAACUCUCUUUUGAAUUAAUUUCACAAU